rnacentral:rRNA from 1 species
GCUUAGUGGCGAACGGGUGAGUAACGCGUGAGUAACCUGCCCUGGAGUGGGGGACAACAGUUGGAAACGACUGCUAAUACCGCAUAAGCCCACGGCCCGGCAUCGGGCUGAGGGAAAAGGAUUUAUUCGCUUCAGGAUGGACUCGCGUCCAAUUAGCUAGUUGGUGAGGUAACGGCCCACCAAGGCGACGAUUGGUAGCCGGACUGAGAGGUUGAACGGCCACAUUGGGACUGAGACACGGCCCAGACUCC